UACGUAGGUGGCAAGCGUUGUCCGGAUUUACUGGGCGUAAAGAGCGCGCAGGCGGUCGGUCAAGUCGCGUGUGAAAGCCCCCGGCUCAACUGGGGAGGGUCACGCGAUACUGAUCGACUCGAAGGCAGGAGAGGGUAGUGGAAUUCCCGGUGUAGUGGUGAAAUGCGUAGAUAUCGGGAGGAACACCAGUGGCGAAGGCGGCUUCCUGGCCUGUUCUUGACGCUGAGGCGCGAAAGCUAGGGGAGCAAACGGG
rnacentral:rRNA from 1 species